AUGCAAGUCGUACGCACUGGCCCAACUGAUUGAUGGUGCUUGCACCUGAUUGACGAUGGAUCACCAGUGAGUGGCGGACGGGUGAGUAACACGUAGGUAACCUGCCCCGGAGCGGGGGAUAACAUUUGGAAACAGAUGCUAAUACCGCAUAACAACAAAAGCCACAUGGCUUUUGUUUGAAAGAUGGCUUUGGCUAUCACUCUGGGAUGGACCUGCGGUGCAUUAGCUAGUUGGUAAGGUAACGGCUUACCAAGGCGAUGAUGCAUAGCCGAGUUGAGAGACUGAUCGGCCACAAUGGAACUGAGACACGGUCCAUACUCCUACGGGAGGCAGCAGUAGGGAAUCUUCCACAAUGGGCGCAAGCCUGAUGGAGCAACACCGCGUGAGUGAAGAAGGGUUUCGGCUCGUAAAGCUCUGUUGUUGGAGAAGAACGUGCGUGAGAGUAACUGUUCACGCAGUGACGGUAUCCAACCAGAAAGUCACGGCUAACUACGUGCCAGCAGCCGCGGUAAUACGUAGGUGGCAAGCGUUAUCCGGAUUUAUUGGGCGUAAAGCGAGCGCAGGCGGUUGCUUAGGUCUGAUGUGAAAGCCUUCGGCUUAACCGAAGAAGUGCAUCGGAAACCGGGCGACUUGAGUGCAGAAGAGGACAGUGGAACUCCAUGUGUAGCGGUGGAAUGCGUAGAUAUAUGGAAGAACACCAGUGGCGAAGGCGGCUGUCUGGUCUGCAACUGACGCUGAGGCUCGAAAGCAUGGGUAGCGAACAGGAUUAGAUACCCUGGUAGUCCAUGCCGUAAACGAUGAGUGCUAGGUGUUGGAGGGUUUCCGCCCUUCAGUGCCGGAGCUAACGCAUUAAGCACUCCGCCUGGGGAGUACGACCGCAAGGUUGAAACUCAAAGGAAUUGACGGGGGCCCGCACAAGCGGUGGAGCAUGUGGUUUAAUUCGAAGCUACGCGAAGAACCUUACCAGGUCUUGACAUCUUGCGCUAACCUUAGAGAUAAGGCGUUCCCUUCGGGGACGCAAUGACAGGUGGUGCAUGGUCGUCGUCAGCUCGUGUCGUGAGAUGUUGGGUUAAGUCCCGCAACGAGCGCAACCCUUGUUACUAGUUGCCAGCAUUAAGUUGGGCACUCUAGUGAGACUGCCGGUGACAAACCGGAGGAAGGUGGGGACGACGUCAGAUCAUCAUGCCCCUUAUGACCUGGGCUACACACGUGCUACAAUGGACGGUACAACGAGUCGCAAGCUCGCGAGAGUAAGCUAAUCUCUUAAAGCCGUUCUCAGUUCGGACUGUAGGCUGCAACUCGCCUACACGAAGUCGGAAUCGCUAGUAAUCGCGGAUCAGCAUGCCGCGGUGAAUACGUUCCCGGGCCUUGUACACACCGCCCGUCACACCAUGGGAGUUUGUAACGCCCAAAGUCGGUGG
rnacentral:rRNA from 1 species